GAUGAACGCUAGCUACAGGCUUAACACAUGCAAGUCGAGGGGAAACGAUGAGAGAGCUUGCUCUCUUAGGCGUCGACCGGCGCACGGGUGAGUAACGCGUAUCCAACCUACCCAUUACAGGGGGAUAACCUUGCGAAAGUAAGACUAAUACCCCAUGGCAUUUUAUGGUGGCAUCAUUAUAGGAUUAAAGAUUUAUUGGUAAUGGAUGGGGAUGCGUCUGAUUAGCUUGUUGGCGGGGUAACGGCCCACCAAGGCAACGAUCAGUAGGGGUUCUGAGAGGAAGGUCCCCCACAUGGGAACUGAGACACGGUCCAAACGCCUACGGGAGGCAGCAGUGAGGAGUAUUGGUCAAUGGGCGAGAGCUUGAGCCAGCCAAGUAGCGUGCAGGAUGACGGCCCUAUGGGUUGUAAACUGCUUUUAUAGGGGAAUAAAGUGAGCUACGUGUAGUUUAUUGCAUGUACCCUAUGAAUAAGGACCGGCUAAUUCCGUG
rnacentral:rRNA from 1 species